UACGGAGGGUGCGAGCGUUGUCCGGAAUCACUGGGCGUAAAGGGCGCGUAGGUGGCCUGUGGAAGUCUGCGGGGAAAGCCCGGCGCUCAACGCCGGGUCGGCCGUGGAUACUCUCGGGCUCGAGCUUACUAGAGGCAGAUGGAAUUCCGGGUGUAGCGGUGGAAUGCGUAGAGAUCCGGAAGAACACCGAUGGCGAAGGCACUUUACUGGGCUAUUACUAACACUCAGAGACGAAAGCUAGGGUAGCAAAUGGG
rnacentral:rRNA from 1 species